GUAAAUAUAGGCCAAAGGAGGGCACCGGAGGAGGUGGGACCCACCCAAGUGGCCUCUUGGCACAGACUAGGGCCAGGCCGCGCCCAUAGGUCGCCUGGGAGGCCCCUGGCCCCCCUCUUGCCCAUCUUCGGUGCUCAGGAAGCUUCUGUUAUGCUGAUUUUUUAUAUAUUAUUCUUGGAUUUUUUUGGUCUUUGGAAAAUGGGGUAAAAGCCCGUGCAAAAUAGACAUCAGCAGACAAAAACUGGCAGUGGGUGCACUGAGUUAGUAGGUUAGUCCAAAUAUGUGUGAAAUGAUAUAAAAGUGUAGCAAAACAUAUAACAAUGUCACCCAAAAGAUCAUGGAACAAGCAGAAAUUAUAGAUACGUUUGGGACGUAUGAGUACGCAUCCAAAGUACUCGCAAGACUGACAUCAGAACUAUAUUAAGUAUGCAUCAGUAUCAAAGGAAAUGGGUUAUGUGUGGACUGACUGCAGCAAUGCGAGAAUAGAGAGAAAGAACUAGUCCUAUCGAGGACUAGCAACUUCAGUGGUCUUGUAGCAAUAGAUGAGAGUAGAUCAAGUAACACAAUUCAAUAGUCAUAUUGUUGCAGCAAUAUUAAUUAAGGUCACACCCAUAGAUUCUUCCUCGAUUCCCUACGAGGAAGCAAUCCCGGAGCAAACAUUCCGGUUAAGUAACAAUUGUAGUUGUAUAAGAU
rnacentral:lncRNA from 1 species